rnacentral:rRNA from 1 species
GAUGAACGCUGGCGGCGUGCCUAAUACAUGCAAGUCGAGCGAACAGAUGAGGAGCUUGCUCCUCUGACGUUAGCGGCGGACGGGUGAGUAACACGUGGAUAACCUACCUAUAAGACUGGGAUAACUUCGGGAAACCGGAGCUAAUACCGGAUAAUAUAUUGAACCGCAUGGUUCAAUAGUGAAAGACGGUUUUGCUGUCACUUAUAGAUGGAUCCGCGCCGCAUUAGCUAGUUGGUAAGGUAACGGCUUACCAAGGCGACGAUGCGUAGCCGACCUGAGAGGGUGAUCGGCCACACUGGAACUGGGACACGGUCCAGACUCCUUCGGGAGGCAGCAGUAGGGAAUCUUCCGCAAUGGGCGAAAGCCUGACGGAGCAACGCCGCGUGAGUGAUGAAGGUCUUCGGAUCGUAAAACUCUGUUAUUAGGGAAGAACAAAUGUGUAAGUAACUAUGCACGUCUUGACGGUACCUAAUCAGAAAGCCACGGCUAACUACGUG